AUUGAACGCUGGCGGCAUGCCUUACACAUGCAAGUCGAACGGUAACAGGUCUUCGGAUGCUGACGAGUGGCGAACGGGUGAGUAAUACAUCGGAACGUGCCUAGUAGCGGGGGAUAACUACUCGAAAGAGUGGCUAAUACCGCAUGAGAUCUACGGAUGAAAGCAGGGGAUCGCAAGACCUUGUGCUACUAGAGCGGCCGAUGGCAGAUUAGGUAGUUGGUGGGAUAAAAGCUUACCAAGCCGACGAUCUGUAGCUGGUCUGAGAGGACGAUCAGCCACACUGGGAAUGAGACACGGCCCAGACUCCUACGGGAGGCAGCAGUGGGGAAUUUUGGACAAUGGGCGCGAGCCUGAUCCAGCAAUGCCGCGUGCAGGAUGAAGGCCUUCGGGUUGUAAACUGCUUUUGUGCGGAACGAAAAGCCCUGGGUUAAUACCCUGGGGUCAUGACGGUACCGUAAGAAUAAGCACCGGCUAACUACGUGCCAGCAGCCGCCGUAAGAC
rnacentral:rRNA from 1 species